rnacentral:rRNA from 1 species
CGCGUAGGUGGUAGUGUAAGUCUGGGGUGGAAUGCCGGGGCUUAACCCUGGAAUUGCCUUGGAAACUGCAUUACUUGAGUCAGUGAGGGGAGGGUAGAAUUCCUGGUGUAGCGGUGAAAUGCGUAGAUAUCAGGAGGAAGGCCUGUGGCGAAGGCGGCCCUCUGGCGCUGGACUGACACUGAGGCGCGAAAGCGUGGGGAGCAAACAGGAUUAGAUACCCUGGUAGUCCACGCCCUAAACGGUGGGCACUAGGUGUAGGGCUCGUAAGGGUUCUGUGCCGAAGGGAAACCAUUAAGUGCCCCGCCUGGGGAGUACGGCCGCAAGGUUGAA